AUUGAACGCUGGCGGCAUGCUUUACACAUGCAAGUCGAACGGUAACAGGCCGCAAGGUGCUGACGAGUGGCGAACGGGUGAGUAAUGCAUCGGAACGUGCCUAGUAGUGGGGGAUAACUACUCGAAAGAGUGGCUAAUACCGCAUGAGAUCUACGGAUGAAAGCAGGGGAUCGCAAGACCUUGUGCUACUAGAGCGGCCGAUGGCAGAUUAGGUAGUUGGUGGAAUAAAAGGUUACCAAGACGACGAUCUGUAGCUGGUCUGAGAGGACGAUCAGCCACACUGGGACUGAGACACGGCCCAGACUCCUACGGGAGGCAGCAGUGGGGAAUUUUGGACAAUGGGCGCAAGCCUGAUCCAGCAAUGCCGCGUGCAGGAUGAAGGCCUUCGGGUUGUAAACUGCUUUUGUACGGAACGGAAAAGUUCUCUCUAAUACAGGGGGCGAAUGACGGUACCGUAAGAAUAAGCACCGGCUAACUACGUGCCAGCAGCCGCCGUAACAC
rnacentral:rRNA from 1 species